CGGUUAAAAAGCUCGUAGUUGGAUCUCGGCAAGUAGAGGGCGGUAUGCUUCGUAGCAUUACUGCCCUAGUACUUGUAGUUUUGCCAGAGGUUCCUGGGUGCUCUUAAUCGAGUGUCUAGGGAUGCUGGCAGGUUUACUUUGAAAAAAUUAGAGUGCUCAAAGCAGGCUAUUACGCUUGAAUAUUCGUGCAUGGAAUAAUAGAAUAGGAAGUUGUUUCUAUUUUGUUGGUUUUCGGAAAUCGACUUAAUGAUUAAUAGGGACAGUCGGGGGCAUUUGUAUUCAAACGACAGAGGUGAAAUUCUUGGACCGUUUGAAGACAAACUACUGCGAAAGCAUUUGCCAAGAAUGUUUUCAUUAAUCAAGAACGAAAGUUAGAGGUUCGAAGGCGAUUAGAUACCGCCCUAGUUCUAACCAUAAACGAUGCCAGCUAGCGAUCUGAGGACGUUUUUUUUGUAGACUCCUCAGGAAGCUUCCGGGAAACCAAAGCGUGUGGGUUCCGGGGGAAGUAUGGUUGCAAAGCUGAAACUUAAAGGAAUUGACGGAAGGGCACCACCAGGAGUGGAGCCUGCGGCUUAAUUUGACUCAACACGGGAAAUCUCACCAGGCCCGGACACUGGAAGGAUUGACAGAUUGAGAGCUCUUUCUCG
rnacentral:rRNA from 1 species